CCAGAAACAACCGAGGGUUCGGAUGAAUAGUGGAUCCGAGUGUGGAUCACUUGCUCUGUUUUUGGCCUAAUUUCAACCGAUCUUUUCUUGAUGUUAGAGGCUGAACCAGCUCAUGUCUAAAACACGAAAGUUGUAGCCUUUUGAGUUAUCUUUCCAAUGCAUCAAGAAUCACCUCAUUUGGAUCUGUGUAGGCUGAGAUAUGAUGGAAAUACCCUUGCCUGCUCCAUGCCUUGUUCCAGUUUCGACCAAUAGCAAUUGACUCUGUACUUCGGCUUUUUGACCUGGAAAACCUUCAAACUGGAUUCAGAUGUCUUCACCAAAGUUGUAGAUCUAUCUCUUAUCUUCAAAUGGGUUCAAGAAUCAUCCUAAUCCGAUCAUUGUAACUCAAGUUAUAGCCGAAAUACGAAAAUGUGUCAAAACUGUCAAAAUACACAAAAUCCAAGUAAAAAGUGAUAUAAACCUCAUUUAAUUGAACAAAAGCAUUUUAUACCAAUUAUAGCCAAAAUGAAUCAUUUUCUUCCAAUAAUAUACCCAAAGUGACUAAAAAUAAUAUAAAAUAUCAUACAAUU
rnacentral:lncRNA from 1 species